GUAUCAAUUAUACAUGUGCGGCUGUGUUCUUUACACUGACUGUUUAGAAAGAGGACAGUGAUUGCACACCAUAUACACCUCAACACAGGCCUUUUGCCUAAUCUGUAUUGUGAAUUGGGGGACAAAA